GAUGAACGCUGGCGGCGUGCCUAAUACAUGCAAGUCGAGCGAACGGACGAGAAGCUUGCUUUUCUGAUGUUAGCGGCGGACGGGUGAGUAACACGUGGAUAACCUACCUAUAAGACUGGGAUAACUUCGGGAAACCGGAGCUAAUACCGGAUAAUAUUUUGAACCGCAUGGUUCAUAAGUGAAAGACGGUCUUGCUGUCACUUAUAGAUGGAUCCGCGCUGCAUUAGCUAGUUGGUAAGGUAACGGCUUACCAAGGCAACGAUGCAUAGCCGACCUGAGAGGGUGAUCGGCCACACUGGAACUGAGACACGUUCCAGACUCCUACGGGAGGCAGCAGUAGGGAAUCUUCCGCAAUGGGCGAAAGCCUGACGGAGCAACGCCGCGUGAGUGAUGAAGGUCUUCGGAUCGUAAAACUCUGUUAUUAGUGAAGAACAUAUGUGUAAGUAACUGUGCACAUCUUGACGGUAUCUAAUCAGAAAGCCACGGCUAACUACGUG
rnacentral:rRNA from 1 species